AUGCAGUCCUCUAGCUGCUCCUCUCAGCCUACAAAGCCACGGCGCUUUGACGUCAACAGACGGACCAAUACCUUAGCUGCACCAAAGUCUCAUGGCCCUGGUUUUCAGAGGGAGGAUAAAAACAUGAACACGAUCAACACAUCCUCCCCACGCCGGGCUACUAAAGGCCCCACUGCACCCACCAGGACUAGGGUGGCAGUGCAGCCACGGCCACCAGUAAGCCAGUCCAGGUUUGCCCCACAAAAACAGGUUUCAACCAUCUCUAAAUCAGUCAAACCCAAACCCAAAAAUGCUCGUGCGUCUGCUGCAACCAAAACUGUGCCAGCAGCCGCUCCUCCUCCGCUUCCGUCUGUUCUCCCUCUCGACCCGAACUGCAACGAGCCGAGCCUCCCAUGUCUGUGCUGCGAUGGGCGCUCCCCACAGGACAACAACAGCAUGUUCAACCACAACCACAACAACAACAACACAAUCUCUAUCAGACAGCAACUGAAGCUACCGCCUCCUCCAGGCCCGUUACCCCAGAGGCAGGAUGGGAAAAUGGCCAAGGAGCUGCCUCAGCCUUCUCUGAAAGCUCAGGCCAAGCUGGAAGCCUCUGCCCGCCCUGCUGCCAAUCUAGAAGACAACGUCAAGAAUGCAGAUGAACGCUCCGAACUGGACAACAAGAAAAAUAUAAAGGUAGAGGAGGAAGACGACGAGGAAGAGAGCAGUGGGGAUAUUGAUAUCGAUGAUGAUGACGAGGAAGCUGACAAUGAUGAUGACGAUGAUGAUGAUGACACCCUGGUCCCCUCAUGCUGUGACUGUCCCCCCUCCCUCCUGGAGUUCUCACUGUCCUCCUCUACCUCCUCAUCCUCCACUUCCAUCAGCUCCUGCUCUGAUCUGGAGUCUGACUGUGCAGAUCAAUCCGCCUCCAUCUGCUCUUCCCAAGACCAAGAUAAUCUAUCCGUUGCUCUGUCCCCUAAAGAGCACGCUCUUCCACCAGCCCCUGAGUGUCAGCCUCCUGUGCAAUCACCACCAUCCCUUCCUCUUAACCGCAAUCCUUUCUCUUUAACAUCCCAUUCCCCAAUUCCUCCUUGCUCCCCAGAUGAGGGCUACCCCUCUGCCCUCGACUCCCCUUCGUCUGACUAUCUAGGAGUCAAAGGCGAAUCUGAGGUCACCAAACUAGGUUUACUUGACUUUCUAGAGUCAGUAGGGGAGUUUGGGAAAAUGGAGCGCUUUAGCCAGGUGAUCCAAGUGGCUCGUUGGGAUCUGGAGGGGGAACAACAUUGGGAUGUUCUGAGGGAUCGGCUAGAUCACCUGGAUCGCUUGGAGAAGGUGAACAGGGAAGUGAAGCUGGCCUAUGUUGCCAGACUCCACGAGAAGGGAUUUGAUCUUGGAGACCUGGAAGAACAGGAUCUGUCGGAUGUCAUGGAUGAAAUGGGCAACAUCGACAUUCCCUGGAAGUUGUAUAAAAGUCGCGGCGGAUCGAUGGGAGAUUCUCAGGAGUUUUCGGAUGCAGGGGUUGACCUCACUGCUCCGUCAGACUGCGAUGAGCCUCUCGCUCCCGACUCCCUCACCCCUUCUCCUGUUGAGCCCCCACCUAGACCCCCUAAACCUCCAGCACGUCAUGCCAGCGUGAGCUCUGACCUCCACACCUACAUCAAUAUCAGCAGGGAAACAACCUCCAUGGCAGUCUCCACCUCUCCUACGUUGUCCACUUUCUCCACUAACUCCUCAUCCCCCACAUUCACCACUUUCAGGUGUGAGAAACCCCUACCUCCAUCCCCACCAUCUAUUCCUCCUCUUCCUGCCUCUAAACCAGUCCCUUACCUCACCCUAUAUACUACUUCUUCUCCGCCUCCUGCCAUUCCUACCCCAACUCCUCCCAUUCCUCCACCUCGGAAGCGACACCUUGCCAGGAAGGAGGCGCAGCGGCUCGCUGCUCUUCAAGCCGAACAGGAAAAGACCCCUCUUUCCCUUCCUCCUCCUACCACACGCCCCCCACCUCUUCCUCCUCCACCAGUUAUCUCAGUCUCCUCAUCCUCUCCCCCUGCAAUACCACCUCCACCUGCGCUACCUCCUCCCCCCUCCUUCCAUGCACUGGAUGUAGAGAUCCGGAAACUACUGAUGCUAGCAGGAUUGACUCAAGCUGAGCUUCUCAAACUCAGCCCAGAGCUUGGUGACUGUGUCGGAGGGUUGGCGGAUGAGGGAGACAGAGAUAAUGUUAUCAUGUCCAAAUCUCCAUAUGAGUUCAGACUAAAAGAAAGGGAGGAUGAGAAGGAAUGUGACACCGGGUUGAUGUCCAGAGAUGGAUGGAGCAGCAGAGGCAAGUUCGAUGGAGAUCGAAGAGUAGAUAUAGCCGAAGAAGGCAGAAAGAAAGAGGAGAGCAAGGACCCACAAAGAACCACCUCAUUCACUGAGAUGGCGAGGAGAAGGAAGAGGAACAGCGGCCUAACUUCCGACUCUUACUACAAUACUGCUUUUAGCAAUACUCAUGAAACUAAAACAAAGAAUAUGAGCUACGAGUCUUUCCGCUAUCCUGCUGGGUUACCAGAUUCACCUCCCCCUCCUCCUCCACCUCGUCCCCUACCCCCAAUCCCACCAUCUCUGCCUCCUACCAAGGUCAGCACUCUCCCUGCCAACUCUGCACAACCUGAGCGAUUUGACUGGCUCAUAGCGUUCACACCUGAUUGCGAUGCCCCACCACAGCCUCCACCUCUGGAGAUGAGAAAAUCUCAACUAGAAACUCAAAAGAAGCUCAGUUCAUCAGGUUCAUCUCCUGCUCCAAAGGUGACAACUUUCAAAGAGCUGCGCUACCGCAACAAGAGCGCCUCCCCUACAACAAAGGUGAUCACUGACCCAGACCCUGAUCCGAAUGUUAUUACUCCAGAUCCAGACAUACUGUACAACCUGAGGUGGAGGCGAGAGACGGCAGGCAGCGAUGGCAACCAAUGGGAGUACACCUCACAAGCUCAGGCCCUCUUCAUGCAGCCUCCACCAGCCCUCACCUCGAUGGCUGCCCUGAAGGAAAUGCUUCAGAGAGCUGACAAGGAGGGAGGACAACUAGAGCUGUGCCCCUCACAGAAGAUUGGCUGCUCUGUCAGUGAUAGCAGCCUGUGGACCAUGGGCAGAGAGCAGGAGUGUGAAGACAUUAAGAGUGAGAAAAAGGAAGGGAAAGAAGAAGAAAAAGAAGAAGAGGAGGAGGUGGAGGUUGAAGUGAGAGGGCGAGCCGAUGGAGGGAGGACUUUUGAAUCAAGAACUUCAGGUGAGGAUGAAUUUCAGUGA
ensembl:lncRNA